rnacentral:rRNA from 1 species
UACGUAGGGACCGAGCGUUGUCCGGAAUCACUGGGCGUAAAGGGCGCGUAGGCGGCGCGGGUAGUCGUCGGUGAAAGCUCAGGGCUCAACCCUGAGUCGGCCGGUGAUACUCCCGUGCUCGAGCACUGUAGAGGCAGGUGGAAUUCCGGGUGUAGCGGUGGAAUGCGUAGAGAUCCGGAAGAACACCGGUGGCGAAGGCGGCCUGCUGGGCAGUAGCUGACGCUGAUGCGCGACAGCGUGGGGAGCAAACAGG